ACCAAUCCUUUACCGUCCUCGAGCCCCACGCCACUCUUCUCCCAUCCGCGUCGUCCGGCCUCCCCUGCUCCUCGGUCCCCCGCCGCCUCACGGCCUCUCGCACCGCUGCCUUUUCUCCCGGCCUCUUCCCCGGCGCUCGAGGUGCAGUAGCGUGGGCGCUGCCACGUUCUCGAUCCAGUCGGAUCUGGCGCAGGUCGCCGGCAUCCGGCACCGCGCGCCGUGAUUCCAGAUCGGGCGUAGGUCGCCGGCAGGAGAGCAGGAGCGGCUGCUGCAGCGAGUGCAGUGGAGGAUCCCACCCUGGUCAAGCCCCACCCCGGCGGCUGCGUGCAGAAGAGGAGCGGUCGAGGAUGGCCGGCAGUUCGUGGAGGAGACGCUCGGCACAGAUAGGGAUAGCGAGGAGGAGGUUGUCCCCGCGAGGAGGCAACGUGAGGCUGCACGGGCGCCUCCCCAUCUGUGCAUCUACCGAGAAUGGAUGGACUCAAGUGGGUAAGGACGCCAUCAGCACGUGAUAAGAUUAGGUGCUGGGUACCACAUCCGCCCAAAUCCAAGGUCUCAAGCCACACAGGUCAGCUUCUACUUCAUACAUGAUUUCUUCAUCUCAGUUGUACCAGAAUAGAAAGCCAUGCCUCUGCCUUCACCAAGAGUAGUAUUUUCUGCAGGUUUUCCACCAUCUCCUACUGACCACGCAUGCCUCAUAAUUUGGUGGAUGUACCAUUUAUGUAGCUUUAUUCACUAGGCAUGGAGAUGGGGCUGUCGCUUUGGUUGUAGCCAUUCAUAUGCAUACACGCAAGGAUGGAGAUUUCAGUUGUGCUUACCUCGACAAAAUAUCAUUGUUGGUAGCAUAGCCAUAUCAUUGUACUUGGCAUCUACCUUACUGUAUUAGGAUUCUUAAUGUUUCAUGAGGUUUUAUUUUGUGAGUUCUGGUAUUAUUUGUUAUAAUUGCGUGAAACUAUUUCUGAACCUAUAUGACAUAAAUUUAGUGUUACCAGUCUGCAAGUUAUGAUAGCAAUGGUUUUAACAUUUUCAUGUUUUAUCUUUUUUGUAAUCAUAUCACUUGCGGGGAAUAUGUUCAGAUGUCUCGUGCUUGGAAAGGGCCCAUUACACAUAUCAUGGAAACAAGAUCUAUUUUUGUAUUUUUGUAAUAAUUAAACAUAUCAGAUGUCUCGUGUUUGGAAUGUGCAAGCUGAACUCCUCUAUCAUUGGCGUUAAUCUUCCAAUCAACAAGGUAAAUGGGAUACAAUAUAUAAUCCAUGACUCUUUCCUCGAUUCCUUUUACAUUAUCGAAUCUGACGGUCACCAUUAUUAACCAUCACAUAUUAGUAUUAGGAUUGAAUCUUCUGUGCUAUUGCAUUUGUUUAGAGAAGUUUUGACCUAUACUUUCAGGAACAGUCCACCGGUCAGUUUCUUCGUGUAAAAGGAAUUGAGAAAGUCAUGGAUUUGUACGAUUGAAUGUUUGUGUUGCUGCAUUUGUUCAGAGAAGUUUUGACCUGUACUUCCAGGAACAGUCCACCGGUUGUCAAUGCAGUCCAUAGAGAACAAGUUGCUAAAAAAAUAUGGGAUGCAGUUAGCCUAAGAGUGACCACUUAGGCACUUACCAAAUUUUUGUUAAAUUACAAAUGGAAUCCACUACCAUACAUGUUCGCAUUAGUGAUAUGUUCAUUUCUCCCCUGGAUAGUUAUCAAUGCAGUCCAUAGAGAACAAGUUGCUAAAAGAAUAUGGGAUGCAGUUAGCCUAUGAGUGACCACUUACCAAAAUUUUGCUAAAUUACAAAUGGAAUCCACAGUACAAUAUUGUACUUUUAUCAAAUUGCAUAAAUCAGUGUACUAUUUUCAUGAAUAUUAUGCAGGGAGCUCCAUUCUACCUUGGUUGCUUCAAAUAAAAAAUCUGCCGACUGAAAGUAUGUCAGUUGGUUAUUGGUGCUCUUGGCCCUUUAUGCUUAUUGGUUAUUUGCUUCAUGUGGUUUCCAUUUUUAACUACAUGGGCAAUUUUAAUUUCAGUGUUUAUAUAUCUAUCAGUUCUCGUGCUCAUUGUAGAUUAUGCAAUACAAUUAUGUUCAGAGGAGCUUUAGAGUAAAGACUAACCAGUACAAGACCUGUUUUUGCAAGGGCCAUUACACAUAUCAUGGAAACAAGAUGGUUAUUGAUUUAUGCUGCACAAUGCCCUAUCUAUGUUCAGAAUAUAUUCAUGUCUGAAUAAUACAAUUAGAAGCGAUAGAAGUGUUCGCUGAAAUGGAUUUUCUUACUCAACACAAUAUAUUGGCGAGCUUGAAAAAAAUAACUUGAAGCAAAGGAUGGAGAGUAUAUCUCAACAACAAGUAAUUAAACAUGGUUGCAGUCACAGGGACGAGCUGGCCGACCAUAUCAACAAGGUCAACGCAACAGAGUUGAAGGAAAUAUUAAGGUUGCUUUUGUCCUCUGAUCUGCUGUUUGGUCUUCAUCUAUUACUCUGUUGGUUCAUCAUCUGCUCGGUUGGAGCAAGGUGUUCUAUUUUCGAUUUCCGUUCUGACCGUUGGAUUCCUAUUCUUAUUUUUGUCUUCACUACUAGAGUUGAUUGAUGCGCCCCGUCGAAGUCUCAUUUCCAGGCGGGACACAACAUAGAACCGUAGCACCCCUAUGCUUGGGAAGCUCGACAUUUAUACAUUCCCCAUUGAUUGAGCAGUGUAUGACGACUGCGACUUUCCAAGAUUGGAGUCUCUUCCAGAAUUUCAAUUGUAAAAGCUCAUGCUUAAGAAAUGAGUAGUAGGGUAUAUUUUUCGUGUAGAGCUUAUUCGUGAAGCAACUAUUAUUGGGUAUUGUAAGAUGAUAGGGAAGGUUUCUGCUUUGCCAUUGACAGCCCACCGAACACACCCACCGCGAGGAGUUGCUUAGACGAUGAGGUCAUUUACGAUACCGAUGGCACAUGCUACAAUUAAUGACACUACCUGAUGUGAAUGACUUUAUAUCUUAGUUACCAUAAGCUGAGUGGCCAAAGCUAUCUAUACAAUGCAUCUCUGCCUAUGUAGCUUUGAAGAGAUCUCUUGCCUUUCUUUUGGCCUAUAAAGCGACCAGGCUAUGUAAUAUGCUAUGUAUGAACAUCAUAUCCAAAAGUCAAUUUUCUUAUGCUUCAAGGAUUCGGUCA